CGCCCUUAGAGUUUGAUCAUGGCUCAGAUUGAACGCUGGCGGCAUGCCUUACACAUGCAAGUCGAACGGUAGUCUUCGGACACGAGUGGCGAACGGGUGAGUAAUACAUCGGAACGUGCCCAGUCGUGGGGGAUAACUACUCGAAAGAGUAGCUAAUACCGCAUACGAUCUGAGGAUGAAAGCGGUUCGUCGCGCGAUUGGAGCGGCCGAUGGCAGAUUAGGUAGUUGGUGGGAUAAAAGCUUACCAAGCCGACGAUCUGUAGCUGGUCUGAGAGGACGACCAGCCACACUGGGACUGAGACACGGCCCAGACUCCUACGGGAGGCAGCAGUGGGGAAUUUUGGACAAUGGGCGAAAGCCUGAUCCAGCAAUGCCGCGUGCAGGAUGAAGGCCUUCGGGUUGUAAACUGCUUUUGUACGGAACGAAAAAGCUUCUCUAAUGAGAGGCCAUGACGGUACCGUAAGAAUAAGCACCGGCUAACUACGUGCCAGCAGCCGCGGUAAUACGUAGGGUGCGAGUGUUAAUCGGAAUUACGGGCGUAAGCGUGCGCAGGCGGUUAUGUAAGACAGAUGUGAAAUCCCCGGGCUCAACCUGGGAACUGCAUUUGUGACUGCAUGGCUAGAGUAC
rnacentral:rRNA from 1 species